GCGCGUACACACACACACACACACACACACACACACACACACACACACACACACACACACACACACACACACACACACACACACACACAGAGAACACCGAGCCUGGAAAAAAAACCCGGCAAACUCUCAUAUCUUGUGGAAUAUAUACAUUAAGGGACCUGACGUAACCUACCUUAACCCACCUUCAAAAGUGUAAUAGCAUCCAGCCCGCCCUGUGUGCAGCCCAGCACCUCACUGUGUAAUGUUGUAGCUCAACAACCAGCACAACCAUACAAUGGAGCUUGCUUUAAUAUCAUACAACCCACAUCAUAAUGUGAAAUGUAGAGACGCGUAUAGAACGACAUGGGACGCAUGUUGGGUCUCAUAUUCACAGUAUUCUGGUCAUUAACCACGUGGCCUGGUCAGAACUGGGUAAACAGGCAGAACGAGAUGUUUAUUCACGACAAUAUUAAGUAUUUUACUUCAUGUUUAUGUCGUACAGCUGUUAUUCCAUCAUUGUUCCCGUUCAGGGACAGCACACGUUGACCUUCAACCGGUGCAGUUGUAAAAUAACCAGAAUAAUCCACUUGACACACAUUGACCACGACCUGUCACCUCAACGUGACCAUGCAAAGUGCAGGAUCAUCGUCAAGUUUUCUUCAGUGGAUGACCUUUACUUAAACUUGAACCGGAUAGGUAUGGCUAAUACAACGCCAGACUGCAGACGAUGGAGAGUUGUAUUCUAUAACAUUAUAGAUAGACAAAUUAGUCCUCUGGCCUUUUUAAGGCUAAAUCAGAAUGAGAAACAGAGCGGACAGAACACCGGGCUGGAGACCAGGGAUGCCAGGGACUCUCAAGUAACUGGUCUUUAGACUCUCUAGGUCCUCACUACAGGUCCUACUGACCUCAGGAGCCGGCCAUGUUUACGUUCCGAACUCGGAGACCUGCGGGGACGCAUCGACUCCAUGAAGGACCGUCGGUUCAAACAGGGAACAGCCUACUCACCGAGCCUCCACCGGAGCUGCAGAGACGGCCUGUUAACGCGGACCUUAUGGUGUCUGGAGAUGUGUGGAUGAUGAUAUGUGGUUGAGGACGUUUGGCGGAGACUGCUGCUGUAAGUGGCGCAUGAAGGGAAGCCGAGUGUUGUACAGCACCGCCCCGUCUGAGACGUCACGUUCACCGGCAAGCCUUACCAGGGUAUGGUGAAGGACGGAAUGCACAUGCGACACACCAAAGCACCAGAAAACACCCUGCCAACAUUGGGGGAGAUUUGGGGUGAGUUGAAGGUGGGUCAUGAACGGCCAUACUUUUUCUUGAACUUCGACGAAGCAGCGCCCCCUGCAGGAUCUUCUUCUUCUUCUUCAGUGGGUUUUUAUGGCAGCUGGCAUCCAAAUUGUUGCAUUGCUGCCACCUUCAGGUUAAUUUAAGUCAUAUCCUCAUAUUCUUUUAAUCAGACCAGUGUCUGAUAAAUACUUUAAAAAACAACACCUUCCCCUCCCACUUGACCCCAAAUUUAAAAUACCUUUAACUGAAAUCUCUUCUAGACCCAACUCUCUCAAUGUCUCUAGUAACUCCUUCCUUUCCCUGCUGUAUCUCCUACAAUGUAUAAGAACAUGAGGCACUGUCUCGGGUUGUUGACGUUCAUCACACAUUCCAUCUUGAUGUUUCCCUAUGAUAAAAAGAGUACUAUUCAAUAAUGUGUGACCAAUUCUCAUUUUAGCAAUAGUAACCUGUUCUUUCCUUCUCAUCCCACAAGGUUUAGUUGACUCAGUCACUCUUCCAUUUAAUGAGAAUAAAUGUCUCCCUUUAGUCUCUCUCUCCCAUAAUUGUUGCCACUGGGGCAUGAUCCCCCUCCAAACAAGACAUUUCCCCUCAGCCUUAGACAGCUGUAAUGUUACUGACACAGUUUCCUUCUUUACAGCUGCUUUAGCUAAUUUAUCAGCUUUCUCAUUUCCUGAGAUUCCUGUAUGGGCUGGGAGGGGACCCACAUCAAGAUACUGAUGGCUCUUUGCUGUCCCUACCCCAAUACUAGUGAUGGCUGAAACAGAAUCUCUACAAAUCAAUACCUUUUGAUUUACAAGUUGCUCAAUCCACUUUAUUGCCAUUAAAAUAGCAUAUAGCUCAAUAGUAAAAAACAUGCAAAAAAUCUGAUGUCCUCUUAGAUGACUCUACCUUUAACCUCUGAACCAUAAAGCCGCUCCUGUUGCUUCAGUUUCUUGAUCUUUUGACCCAUCAGUAUAAUUAGUAGAUGAUCCCCAUAAUGUUCUCUCACAUAACACUGAAACUCAAAUACCAUAUCCGCUUCAUUAGAUCUGUUACUAACAGCUCCUUUGCCACUACCUCCCCUGUCCAUCCAAAGCUUGACAACUUUGCUACCCCCUUCUCCCAGCUUGCUUGAGUCGCCACUCUAACUGGAUGAUCUUCCCUCUGUCCCAUCAAAUUAACCCAGUAAUUAGCCAGUAACUGUUUUCUCCUUAACCAAAGUGGCAUCUCUCCUGCUUCAACUUGCAAUGCACAUACUGGGGAUGUUCUCACAGCUCCCAAGC